CUUGAAGAUACUACGUUGAACAUCUUAGAAGCUAUGCAAGGACAGUCUGGCUAGUACUUGGAUAGGAGAUUACCAGGGAAUACUGGGGAUCCCCAGAC
rnacentral:rRNA from 1 species